rnacentral:rRNA from 1 species
UACGGGGGGGGCAAGCGUUGUUCGGAAUUACUGGGCGUAAAGGGCGCGUAGGCGGCCUUCUAAGUCGAACGUGAAAUCCCUGGGCUCAACCCAGGAACUGCGUCCGAUACUGGAAGGCUUGAAUCCGGGAGAGGGAUGCGGAAUUCCAGGUGUAGCGGUGAAAUGCGUAGAUAUCUGGAGGAACACCGGUGGCGAAGGCGGCAUCCUGGACCGGUAUUGACGCUGAGGCGCGAAAGCCAGGGGAGCAAAUGGG